rnacentral:rRNA from 1 species
ACUCAAAGGAAUUGACGGGGACUCGCACAAGCAGUGGAGCAUGUGGUUUAAUCCGAUAUGACGCGUAGAACCUUACCAAGGCUUGACAUGUCCGGCAAAGUUAGUGAAAGCUAAUGGAGGUUAUCCGGUCACAGGUGCUGCAUGGUCAUCGUCAGUUCGUGCCGUGAGGUGUAUGGUUAAGUCCUAUAACGAACGCAACCCUUGUGCUUAGUUGCCAGCAUUAAGUUGGGGACUCUAAGCAGACUGCCAGAGUAAUCUGGAGGAAGGAAAGGAUGACGUUUGAUCGUCAUGGCCCUUAUGCCUUGGGCGACACACGUGCUACAAUGGUUAGGACAAUGGGUUGCCAACCCGCGAGGGGGAGCUAAUCUCAAAAAACUAACCUCAGUUCGGAUUGGAGGCUGAAACUCGCCUCCAUGAAGUCGGAAUUGCUAGUAAUCGCAAAUCAGCCAUGUUGCGGUGAAUACGUUCUCGAGUCUUGUACACACCGCCCGU